rnacentral:rRNA from 1 species
ACCUCCAAUCAGUCAAGAAUACCCGCUGAAUUUAAGCAUAUUAUUAGGCGGAGGAAAAGAAACUAACCAGGAUUCCCUCAGUAACUGCGAGUGAAGCGGGAGAAGCUCAGACUGAAAAUCUUCGGAAUUGUAGUCUGGAGAAGCAUGGUCAGCCGAUGGUCUCGGGCAAAGUCUUCUGGAAAGGAGCGCCUUGGAGGGUGACAGCCCCGUUCAUGCCUGAGACUAGAAGCGUACGACCUGCUUUCUACGAGUCGAGUUGUUUGGGAUUGCAGCUCUAAGUGGGUGGUAAAUUCCAUCUAAAGCUAAAUAUUGGUGGGAGACCGAUAGCGAACAAGUACCGCGAGGGAAAGAUGAAAAGGACUUUGAAAAGAGAGUUAAAGAGUGCUUGAAAUUGCCGGGAGGGAAGCGGAUGGAGGCUGUCGAUGCGUCUCGGUCGGAUGUGGAACGGCUCAGGCUGGUCCGCCGCUCGACUUGAGGUGCAAACCAACACGGGCUGCUGCAUCGUCACAAGCGCGGGCGGAUUGCCGCCUGUCGGUUUGCCGCUGCGGUGGUCGAGGAACGAAGCGUGCGCCCUUGUGGCGGGCCGUGUGCACCUGCGCGCUCGUGGUGUUGGUUGGCGGGCUUUCCAUUCGACCCGUCUUGUAACACGGACCAAGGAGUCUAACAUGUGUGCGAGUGCUCGGGGUGAACCCCCCAGCGCGAAAUUAACGUAAAGGUGGAUUUAUUCACUUAGGUAGGAACUUCGGUGCACUAUCGACCGACCAUGAUCCUCCGGGAGAAAGGUUUGAGUGUGAGCAUACAUGUUGGGACCCGAAAGAUGGUGAACUAUGCCUGAAUAGGGUGAAGUCAGAGGAAACUCUGAUGGAGGCUCGCAGCGAUUCUGACGUGCAAAUCGAUCGUCAAAUUUGGGUAUAGGGGCGAAAGACUAAUCGAACCAUCUAGUAGCUGGUUCCUCCCGAAAUUUCCCUUAGGAUAGCUGCAACCGAACAGUUUUAUCAGGUAAAGCGAAUGAUUAGAGGCCUCAGGUGUGGAAUGCUCUUGACCUAUUCUCAAACUUUAAAUGGGUAAGAACCCUGGGUUGCUUAAUUGAACCCGGCGGUCGAAUGACGGUUGCUAGUGGGCCAAUCUGGGUAAGCUAGAUUGGCGAUGCGGGAUGAUCCGAACGUCAAGUUAAAGUGCCAAAGUAUCCGCUAACCUAGAUCCCACAAAAGGUGUUGGUUCAUUAAGACAGCAGGACGGUGGCCAUGGAAGUCGGAACCCGCUAAGGAGUGUGUAACAACCCACCUGCCGAAUGAACUAGCCCUGAAAAUGGAUGGCGCUGAAGCGGAUCACUUAUACUUGACCAACACAGCAAAUGCGAGGCUGUGUUGAGUAGGGGGGCGUGGGGCUCGUUGUGCAUUCUGUGGCGUAAGCCGGGAUGAAACGGGCUCUAGUGCAGAUCUUGGUAGCAGUAGCAAAUAUUCAAAUGAGAACUUUGAAGACUGAAGUGGAGAAAGGUUCCAUGUGAACAGUAAUUGGACAUGGGUGAGUCGAUCCUAAGAGAUAGGAGAAUUCUAUUUGAAAGCGGUCCUUCCUCGGAUGGACCCGGCUAUCGAAAGGGAAUCGGGUUAAUAUUCCCGAACCAGAACGUGGAUAAUGAGUGGUAACACAAACGAAACUGGGGACGUUGGCGAGAGCCCCGGGAAGAGUUCUCUUUUCUUUUUAA